rnacentral:autocatalytically_spliced_intron from 1 species
UUUCCUAAUAUUCAAAAAGGUUAUCGAUAUGAUGAGUAAAAAGAAGCAUCUGACUGAAGAAGGAUGGAAAAGAAUUCUCGAACUUGCUGGCAAAACGAAUCGUAGAAAAAACCGUUUUUAGAAUCCCCAGAGACUAUACGUCGAACCCGAAGCACAUAAAGUUUAUGUGCUCGGUGAAGAUAUAGUCCGAACUGCAUAGCGAUAUGCAG